rnacentral:rRNA from 1 species
GAAUUUUAUAAGUUUUGUUUUUUGUUUUCUUUAAGUUUAUUUUAAAUAUAAAACUUAUUUGGUUGGGAGGACUUUUAAAUUAAUUAAACUUUAAAUUUUUAUAACAUUAAUUAGUGGGUUUAAAAGAUUAUAAUUAGUUAUUUAAGAAUUAAUUACCUUAGGGAUAACAGCGUAAUGCUUUUGGUUAGUUCAUAUUAAUAGAAGUGUUUGC